GACGAACGCUGGCGGCGUGCCUAAUACAUGCAAGUAGAACGCUGAAGGAGGAGCUUGCUCUUCUGGAUGAGUUGCGAACGGGUGAGUAACGCGUAGGUAACCUGCCUGGUAGCGGGGGAUAACUAUUGGAAACGAUAGCUAAUACCGCAUAACAGUAGAUGUUGCAUGACAUUUACUUAAAAGGUGCAAUUGCAUCACUACCAGAUGGACCUGCGUUGUAUUAGCUAGUUGGUGGGGUAACGGCUCACCAAGGCGACGAUACAUAGCCGACCUGAGAGGGGGAUCGGCCACACUGGGACUGAGACACGGCCCAGACUCCUACGGGAGGCAGCAGUAGGGAAUCUUCGGCAAUGGACGGAAGUCUGACCGAGCAACGCCGCGUGAGUGAAGAAGGUUUUCGGAUCGUAAAGCUCUGUUGUAAGAGAAGAACGAGUGUGGGAGUGGAAAGUUCACACUGUGACGGUAGCUUACCAGAAAGGGACGGCUAACUACGUG
rnacentral:rRNA from 1 species